rnacentral:tRNA from 1 species
ACCUGCUUAGCUCAGUUGGUAGAGCAUGUGACUCUUGAUCUCUGGGUUGUGAGUUCCAGCCCCACAUUAGGUG